AGAGCUGCCGGAGCUCCUUCGCCGCGUUUCCAUCCAAAAAAAAAAAAUCCCCUUCACCGGACUAUUUCAUACCUCUGAUAAGAGCAGAAAAGUGAAGAUCAACGGAGCUCCUCUUCUUGCGUGUUGGUGCUGGAAGUCUGAUAGAGGGUGCGGUGAUAAUCACAACACAACUUGGAUGAAAACAGCCACAGUUCAAACUCUGCGCUUUUCGUGCAUCUGCAGCCAGAACAUCGGACUUAUUAUUCAUCCACCGGCUCCUGUCCGAGCGGUGUGGGGGUUUGGACCGGAUCGUAGAAGAAAUUGGAUUUAAGAAAAAGAAAACUUUCUGCUUUUACCGAUUGUGGUCUGACACGACCAUCUAAAGAGCUGCUGUUUAUAAGAUCUGGUGGAUCGUGUUGUAAAGAAGUCCAGCAGGUUGUCAAAUCAGACGGGGCGGAGAAAUAUGGCUCUAAGAAUCACCAAAUGCCUGACCUCUGCUCAACCCGGCGUCGUCUGCAACAUUAUCGGUGAAAAUAUGGUCUAACGAGGAGAGACGUGUCUGCAGAAGCAGCAGCACGCAGGACGACUGGCUCAGGGCAAGACAUCUGGAUCACAGCAGCUGUUGUCACCUAUAAGCCACUUGCAAUCAUCUCGGAGAACAGUACAUCUCUUUGUUUUUGUGAUAAAAAUGCACCGUAUGUAAGUUAAUAAAUACACUGCGUGAGCAUACUGUG